CUUGAACACCAAACAAACUUGCAUGGAUCUAGUGUUCUACACCCGGUUGAACACUAACGAAAAGCAUAUUCUAUUAUUCAUCACAGAUAUGCCAUACUUCAUCACCAACCGAUUCGCUUUCAUCCCAAACUACCAAACCGCCACCUCUUUGAUUGUUCACCAUGACCAAACUGCUCUUCUCCCGACAACCUUAAAAAAACCGUUACUACCAACAACAAUCAAGAAAAAAUAGUAACCCCAAUGAAGGACUUCAAGCUAUGGAUGAUCACUCUGACCACUUUCUUGAUCAUCACAAAGAUGGUGGUCACUGAAAGCCAAAUACCAACUACUCUAGAUGGCCCAUUUAAGCCUGUGACACAUCGCCUUGAUCCUUCUUUACGUAAAGGCAGCUCGGACUUGCCAAUGGAUGAUCCAAGGAUCAAGAGAAAUGUCACCUCAAACUUCCCAGAACAGAUUGCUCUUGCUAUUUCUUCGCCAACUUCAGUUUGGGUUUCUUGGGUUACUGGGGAUGCUCAGGUUGGUUCAAAUUUGACUGAGCUUGAUCCUUCAUCGGUUUUAAGCGAGGUGUGGUAUGGGAAAGAAAGUGGCAAGUAUACGAGUGUUGCAAAAGGGGUUUCCACUGUUUACAGUCAAUUGUACCCAUUUAAAGGCCUCUUGAAUUACACCUCUGGGAUCAUUCACCAUGUGAGGCUCAAAGGUCUUCAACCCAAAACAAAAUAUUAUUACAAAUGUGGGGAUAGCUCUAUUCCAGCUAUGAGUGGAGAAAAUGUCUUUGAGACAUUUCCAACGCCUAGCCCAAAUAGUUAUCCUCAUCGAAUAGCAGUUAUUGGAGAUUUGGGUCUCACAAGCAACACCACAACAACUAUUGAUCAUUUGAUUCAGAAUGAUCCUUCAAUGAUAUUAAUGGUUGGAGACUUAAGUUAUGCAAAUCAGUAUCAGACAACUGGUGGAAAAGGAGUUCCAUGCUUCUCGUGUGCAUUCCCAGAUGCACCUAUCAGAGAGACUUAUCAACCCCGCUGGGAUGCAUGGGGAAGAUUCAUGGAGCCAUUAACCUCAAGAGUUCCUAUGAUGGUCAUUGAAGGCAACCAUGAGAUUGAGCCCCAAGUUUCUGGGAUCACAUUCAAAUCAUAUUUGACGAGAUUUGCAGUUCCUUCAGUGGAGAGCGGUUCUAAGAGUAACUUAUACUACUCUUUUAAUGCUGGAGGGGUACAUUUUAUCAUGUUGGGGGCAUAUGUUGACUAUAACAGUACUGGUGCUCAAUAUGCUUGGCUAAAGAAAGAUCUAGAUCUAGUGGACCGCACGGUAACCCCUUGGCUGGUAGCUGCAUGGCAUCCACCAUGGUAUAACAGCUAUUCUUCACACUAUCAGGAAUUUGAAUGCAUGAGGCAGGAAAUGGAAGCAAUUUUGUAUCAAUAUGGUGUUGAUAUUAUUUUUUCUGGACAUGUGCAUGCUUAUGAGCGAAUGAAUAGAGUUUAUAACUAUACAUUGGAUCCAUGUGGGCCUGUCUAUAUAAUAGUUGGAGAUGGUGGCAAUAUUGAGCAAGUUGAUGUUGAUUUUGCUGAUGACCCUGGAAAGUGUCCUUCAGCUGGAGAUAACACACCAGAAUUUGGAGGGGUAUGUCAUUUGAAUUUUUCUUCUGGUCCUGCUAAAGGGCAGUUUUGUUGGAACAGACAACCAGACUGGAGUGCAUAUAGAGAAAGCAGCUUUGGGCAUGGAAUAAUUGAGGUUGUGAAUUCUACAUAUGCUUUAUGGACUUGGCAUAGGAAUCAAGAUGUAUAUAAUGAAGAUAGCCACGGUGAUCAAAUAUACAUUGUGCGACAGCCAGAAUUGUGCUCUAAAACUUUAAAACCAAGCACCCUUCACUGGGAAAGGGAUACUUCCACAAUGAAUUUGUCAGCCACCAGCAAAAAGUGUCACUAAAAGAUUUUGCCUAAAGGGCUUGUGCAUUUCUUGCCAUAAAUUCCUGAUGGGGGGACUUAUAGUGACAAAUGCCAUUGCUAAAUAAUGUUGUCAGUAAAUGUAUGGAGCUCAUUAUAUCUCUCUCUCACUCGCAGCCCAUUAUCGUGCACGCUCCAAGCUCUCUCCCUUCCUCUCCAUCACUCUCUAAGGCAUGUUGUCACCACCCCUCUCUAUUAAUAUUCUCUCUCUACUCAUUACUCAUAGGGGCUCUCUCUCUCUCUCUCUCUUUGCCACUCAGCUUAAUGAGGUCGUUAGGCUCAUGCUCUUUUCCCCGUUUUAAAGAGGUAAUUGAUGCAAAACCAUACGAAAAUUGCUUGGUUUUUUCCGAAAAUUUGUAUAGUGACUGUUUGCUUGCUUUGGAAAUGUAUACAUUUUUUUGAGUUGUUCAAGUGGGCAAUUGGGUUUUAAUUGAUUGUUGCUGAUAAAAACUCAUUUGUAAGUUUCUGUUUCAGUUAAAUGAAAAUUUUCUUGGUUUAGUGAUGAUAA